GACGAACGCUGGCGGCGUGCUUAACACAUGCAAGUCGAACGGUAAGGCCCUUCGGGGUACACGAGUGGCGAACGGGUGAGUAACACGUGGGUGAUCUGCCCUGCACUUCGGGAUAAGCCUGGGAAACUGGGUCGAAUACCGGAUAGGACCACUGCCUGCAUGGGUGGUGGUGGAAAGCUUUUGCGGUGUGGGAUGGGCCCGCGGCCUACCAGCUUGUUGGUGGGGUGAUGGCCUACCAAGGCGACGACGGGUAGCCGGCCUGAGAGGGUGACCGGCCACACUGGGACUGGGAUACGGCCCAGACUCCUACGGGAGGCAGCAGUGGGGAAUAUUGCACAAUGGGCGCAAGCCUGAUGCAGCGACGCCGCGUGAGGGAUGACGGCCUUCGGGUUGUAAACCUCUUUCAGCACCGACGAAGCGCAAGUGACGGUAGGUGCAGAAGAAGGACCGGCCAACUACGUGCCAGCCGCCGCCGUAA
rnacentral:rRNA from 1 species